rnacentral:rRNA from 1 species
CAGCAGCCGCGGUAAUACGUAGGGUGCAAGCGUUAAUCGGAAUUACUGGGCGUAAUGCGUGCGCAGGCGGUUAUAUAGGUCAGAUGUGAAAUCCCCGGGCUCAACCUGGGAACUGCAUUUGAGACUGUAUGGCUAGAGUGUGUCAGAGGGGGGUAGAAUUCCACGUGUAGCAGUGAAAUGCGUAGAUAUGUGGAGGAAUACCGAUGGCGAAAGCGGCUCUCUGGCUUGUAACUGACGCUGAGGCUCGAAAGCGUGGGGAGCAAACAGGAUUAGAUACCCCUGUAGUCCCUGUCUCUUAUAC